ensembl:lncRNA
UUCUGCCAUUUGAAGGGAUAGAGUGGUUCAGGGAGAGAUUUGCUGAGUGCUGGUGCUGAAGCAGAGGUGGGGAUGAGACACUGGGACCAGGACUAGGAAAGCAAGGGUUGGGAUAAGCACACAAAGUUAUAAGCCACUUCCUCCCAGUGCCUGCAAGAUAUCAAAUGUGCUCAGUGGUGUGUGAAGCCACACUGUUUUCAUGUGAUGUGCAACCUCACAACUCAACCUUCCUUACCCUCCUCAUUUGCAUGGUGGCAGCACAUGGGAGACACAUCCAGAUCCCCUCACACCCACUCAGCAGUGCAGGAGGUUUCCCUGGGACAGCUCUGUGCACCACACAGCUGUCGGUGGGUCUGGCCCAUGGCCACAGCUGAGCAUCUCUGCAUCCCACGGGAAGCAAACACCCAGCAUGUACCCAGUGCCCAGUGAGUGCUAGGAGCACAGCGCUGGUGGGAUCCUGCUGUUUCAAAUUAGCACGUUGAGUAUGCAUCUGAGAGCUCCUCAGACCACACAGGGCAGGGGAAAACCAGAACAUGUCACAGGGGAUCUGGGAGAGAAGACAGGCAAGGGGCGAUUCAGCAUGCCAAAUCAGCCCACCACAGAGUGAGUGGUGAUGCAGGACAGUCAACACCUUGGAAACCAGGUCAGCCUCUUCCAAGCACAUUUUACAGUGAAGUACUGGAGGUAGCUAUUACUGAGAUGCAAAUGUGAUAAGCCAUGAGCUCUGGGCUUGCAGCAUCUGAGAAAUGUCAGGCUUGGGGAAGUGCACACAAUCACACAGAGGACUGGUGGCUCCGGUGGCAUGGGGACUUGUCACCUCAUGGGAGCCAACAGCCUGCUGGCUCAGGCCACCUCACUGGGAUGGUUGGGCUGUGAACAGGUAGGAGUGUAUCACUGUUUGUCCCCUUUUCUGGUUUUCAGUUCUGCUAUAAAAGACUGUUUCCAAGGCCAUGUGAAUUGUGUGUGAACAGGAAAAGUUCAGCUGACUUUUGCCAAGGAACUAAUGUGUUAUUAGAAACCUCUACAUUUGAGCCAAGUCUAUGCUGCUGCCAGCCCUGUCAGAAGGGCUAUAUCUUUCUAUUUCAGUCAGAAAAGCCCCCACAAACUUACAAACCAAAGACCCUGUUUGGGAAAUGAAAGUACUCUUCUGAGAUACAGCAGCCCAGGAACAAAGCCAGCCAUGGGUGGGAUGAGCAAUGACCAGCAGGGCUUUUAACAAGCUUGGGCGGAGUUUCCUGCUGCUAUUUCACACCUGUGAGCAGUGUCACUGCUAUGGUAUGAGUAAGGUCUGUGCUGUCAGAGAGCUGCAGCAGAGGUUGCAAGCUGGGCAAGAGCCCCAGCUCAGUCAUGUCUUCUGUCCUGCAGGGGAUGCUGUGCCAAUCCUACAGACAGUGUGAGGGGAGACAAGGGGGGUUGGCCUCUGGGUGACUCUGUGUGACUUGGUGUGAACUAGGGGAAGGACAACUAAACCCCAUAGAGCAUCUCAAGACUGAUACAUCAACACAGCAUUUACACCAUGCAGAAAAGGACACACCGUGAGCCUCACAAGGACCUCUGUUAAGGUCCACACGUGCAGCAGUGGGGACCAGGGAGCUGAGGUAGUUUUAAAAAAGCCAGUAAAGGGGGAGAAAAGGUUGUUUUCAGCCAGAUCAGGUCCCUGUAUGGCUUAUCAGGUGGCUCUGCCAGUAGGUGCAUCGAUAAGGAGGGAUAUGAAGGGGACAACAAGCACAGAAAGGGAUGAAUGAGUGAAGGAAAUGCUUGGGAAGCAGCCUGAAGGGAGCAGGGAGAGUGGGAACAUGAGAUUUGGGGAAUGAGGUCACAGCUGAACCAAGCAGUGGGGUCAUGCCAUGAAAACUAUCAUUUUCUGCUUUUCAGCAAUGCCUCUGCUGAAGGCAAGUGGAACAAUAUACACUCCAAGAAACCUCAGUAUUGUUAAACAUAGCUCAGGACUAAGCUGCAACUUGAUCUGUGAUAAAUGACUGCCUGCUUUCAUUUAUGUCUGAAGCUGCCUGGGCUGAGAGAAGGAGGUAAAUCUGUCCACCAGCAAAGGUGUGUGGUCCCCACAGUGGUGGCAGAGCACAGGGACACACAACUGCAGUCUCACAGCUUCUGGCAGGGACUUCCAUCAUCCCCUCCCAUCUGCUGAGGGCAGUGGGAAGGCUGGCACUGCCUUUUGAAAAGAAAUUCCUUUGCUGCAGCAAAAGGAAUAGCAAGAAGCAGCUGGCCAGGAGAAACCAUGCUGUUCUGUUUAAUCCCAGAGGACCAAAGGGUCUCUUGCUGGAUCAGACUGACACCCUCUGAAGUCCUGUGCCAAAAGGACAGAAAAUAUUGUUUGGGGAUGAAGGCAGCAGUGGCACUCUCUUGGGCAAACACAGGAACAAUAAAUCAAUCGUAUGCUUGUGCAAGUAGUGGCAAACAGCAGCGCAGCAGGCAGCAGCCUGCUGCUCCAAAGCAUCCCCUGGCCUUGCAAGAGGUCAUGGCACACAGGCAAGUCCCUGCCAGUUCCCAAAUGGCAGAAACAGCACUGCCAUAACUGCAACAUCAUCACACCUUAAUUUCUUUAGGUGGAAAACACAUCCCAUUUCUUCUCUGCCCCUUUGGUGUCUGGUUCCCUUCCCCUGAGGUUGAGCAAGGAGCUCCAUGAGGACAGCAUCUGAGCAGCUCAGUAGGCAGCCAGCACCAAGCCCCAGGAACUCCUCUGUCUGAUGAAAUCAUCUCACAGUGUGAAGAUCCUUGCAGCUGAAAUUGAAAAGUUAUUUAUUUCUCAUCUAAAGGGGAAAAAAUCUCACUGUGAAGGCUGUUUGUCCUUUGGGGCAGAAUCUCACUUUUGCCAGCUUCUGUGUUUCUAUGCAGUGGCUGGGAGCAGUGAGAUGUUCUGGCAGGCAGGAUGGGGCAGAGCUGAUGCUCUGCUGCCCACAGCCUCCCUCUGCCAGGGCAGGUGCAAUGAGAGGCACAGUUCAUCCCUCCUCUCUCAUGGGACAUGGGGAUCACAACAGUGUUGCUAAGAGCACCUUUUGCUCCACUGCAGCCAGUCAUCAAUGCAAUGGCUGAUUCUCCACCCUCACCCCUGAGGCAUUGAACUGCCUUGAUAGGAACCACGGCUGAGGUGUCCUGCAUGCUCCCUGGCAGCUCCAGGGAUAACAGUCUUCUUUACCCAAAGGGAUUGUGAAGGUUGUGUCUGUCCCCCACGUGCUCCAAAGGAAUAUCAUAGUGUACAACAUCCUUCCCUCUCCCAGGAGUCAGCAUGUUCUCUGCAAGGGUGCUGGUAGGCUCUGCUGGGCUCUGCAGAGCCCCUCAAAAAGGGGCUUUUUCAUGGGAAUGCUCAUCCUGCUCACUCCAGCAGGAACAUGAGACCAACUUAAAAUCACACAAUGAAUGAUUUUACCACUAUUCUCAGUUUUUACUCUCUGUUCUCUUAUUAUGGGUGGACUAUUUCCAAGCAUGGCCUAGUCUUGCUCCCAGUGCCAUCUGCAAGUGUCACACCAAUGCCUAGGGCCAGUGCUCAGUGCCUUGCAGUAUGCCAUCCCAACAGGGUGUUGGAAAGCUUUCUGUGAAUAUUAAACCUGCUACUCUGCUAGAAGAAAGUAACCUCAGAGCAGGUGAGAGUUGAAGGAGGAGUCCAGGGCCAGUCUUUUCUCUGUGCCAGCAGAAUUGCUUUCCCAGUCCUCAGAGACACAUUUGGAAACCUCACCUGGCAGAGGUGUGACUUAGAGCAAGCUGAUACUGCACAUUAUGAUUUUUCAAGCUCUGGGAAACGAGGAAUAUAGGAACUACUGCAGGAAAUCCUUGUGGCUGGUGCACACAAAAUUCUUAUUUCACUUGGACUUUACCUGCUUGCUCAGAUCCUGUGCUAAGCAGGACUGCUUGCUUUGGCACGGGUAGGGGAGGGGUCCUGCUUUAGGACUGGGCCUCCUAUUUAAAAGAAUAAUAAAAAACAGCAUUCAGUAGUAACAAUACACCUGUUCAAAAAUGUGGAUGCUUUUGCACUGCUGCCAGGCUUCAAACCUUGAGGGAACAGCUCAUGCCACAGCCAGCAGCACCAGCGUGCCGAUGGGGCCAAGUUUCCACUAGAGGGUUGUAGUGGUGUAAGGAAGCAGCCGUGGUUACUGUGGCAGAAAUAUUGCAUGCAUGCCAGGCCUUUGUCAGCAGAUCAAAGGCAACCUGCGAUAUCCCGGCUUCCAGCAGGCUCCGCAGUCUCUGAUGUGCACGGCCAGAAAGCCGCGAGCGGGCUGGGAAGGGAAGCACAGCCUGCUUCCCUGCCCUCCCUCAACAGCCUCAGCAUCCAUGGGACUCAGCACCUACAACAUGGUUAAAGACAGACAGACAGACAGACGGAUAGAUAGAUAGAUAGAUAGAUAGAUAGAUAGAUAGAUAGAUAGAUGGAUAGAUGAUAACAGAGAGAGAGAAAUGGUAAGCAAACACACUGUGCCUAUGCUUAUGCACUGAUGACAGAAUGUUUGUUUGUGCACCUGGGAUUUUGGUGCACAAAAAGCCACGAGGCAUGGCAUUGGCACACCAUGGCAAUGAGUCAGGGCACCAGUGGUGAAGCAAAGCCCACAGCCUGGCAACAUGGCAAGUGGGACAGCUAGCAGCACCAGCACAAUGAUAGAAUCCCAGUGUCAUUCAGGUUGGAGAAGACUUAGAACAUUGAGUCCAGCUGUUAUCCCAGGACUGUCAAGUCCAACACUAAACCUCAGUGCCACAUCUACACAGCUUUUAAAUACCACCAAGGAUGAUGACUCCUCCACUUCCCUGGGACGCCUGUUCCAAUGGCUGACCACCCUCUCAGUAAAGAAAUUUCACCUAAUAUCCAACCUAAACCUCUGCUGGUGUGACUUGAAGCUAUUCCCUCUUGUCCUAUUUCUUGGUUGUUUGGGAGAAGAGACUUUUCAGGUAGUUGUAGACAGCAAUAAGAUCUCCAGUGUCUCAUCAGUACUGAGUACAGGGGGAUGAUCACUUCCCUGGUCCUGCUGGCCACACUGUUGCUGAUCAGCAGAACUGGGAAAUGUUAUCUCUUCAUAUACAGCUGCAGCUGCAGGUCAGGAGCUGCCAUGCUGUGCAUUGCACCAAAUGCAUGUGAAAACUGCCUGGAAUUUUCAAGCCAGCCUUAAGCAGGAGCUGUCAGAGGGGACUGCCACUUCUGCCACCAACCAUGUUCCCAAGUCCAGUGCAGCUCAGUAGGUUCUUGUGUAUGCGGCCCCAGCGUGCAUGUUUACAGUGGUGUUUGUAUUUUUGCAUAUUUAUCUGUGUAACCAUAAAAUCGCAGACUGGUUUGGGAUGGAAAGAACCUUUAAAGGUCAUCUAGUCCAACCCCGUUACAAAAGCCUGUGUGUGCAGCUUUCUGAGUAGAUGGUGUGCUAACUGCUGACAACUGUACCAACAAGAUCAGGGUGGCUUUGCUGCUUAAAACAAAAACUGGAGCUGUGUAAGACUGUGGGAAAAGCCCAAAUAUCACUGACGUUGCCUUCCUUUCACAGAAAGAGUCGGAAGGCAAAUGCAACCACAAGGCCUGCCUGUAAUAUGAAAAACACAUCAUGACAUUCACCAAGAAUUUACCUAGUGAUCAAUUUAUGUUGCACCUGUUUGUAUGAUACUGUCACUAUUUUCAGAUAGAUGGAAAAUGGAUUUUGCCUACAUUUUAAUCUCUUUUGUUAUCAGAAAAGUUUUGAGGAAGCAAGUAGGAGACGUUCUUGCAAAAUAAAAUAUUGCAGCAAAAGAUGGGCUUUGGCUCCUCUGAAAGAUGACCUGAUCAUACCUAAGUACAACUAUGUAAAAACCAACCAUCCAGUUGACAGAGAAUCGUAAAAUAUCUUGAGUUGGAAGAUACCCACAAGGACCAUCAAGUCUAAUGGAGGAGCCAUAGAGUGCUAUAAUAGGUUAUCUGACCCGAAAUAGACACUUGAAUCUUCUUCCCUUUAUAGCUGGCUGGUGGAGAGUCACUUGUCAUGCUAACAGGGGAAGGCAGGAGUUCAAGUGAGCUGUUUUAGAUAUAGUGGACAAAAAAGCACCACAAGGAGACUCAUCUAUCUGAGGAGACCUGCAAGCAGACACACAGAGUUGGGAGAGUCACCUCCCACAAGUGACGGUUUCCAUUAACAAGUCCCAGAACUCAGGGAGACCAAACAAGCUGGAGAACAGGGACUGGUGCUGGUGAAGCUUCUCCUGCUCUGAACUGGCUAAAGGUGGUGGCUGCAUGAGCCUUUGCAUGAGCCUUUGCAGAUCCCAGCAAUGCAGACAAGCUCUGUAGCUCCAGACCACUGGGGUUACCCCUCUCCUCCUGGGGUGCUGCCAUGGGGCAGAAGGGUAGAGGGUCUCCACCAAGGAUAGGCAGCUGGCAUCAGCUAUGAAGAGAGCUAUGCAGAAAAGCAUGGUGUGAGGAGCAUUUGGAGUGUGUUAUGAGAAGGAUGGGAGGGAAGGAACAUGAGUGCCCUGCCUGGGAAUAAGGUGUCUCAGCAGCUGUAGGUUGGAAGGCUAGAUUAAAUUUUUUUUAUUACCUAUUCUAACCAGUGAGAACGCUUAUAAUCUUCCU